AUUAAAAAUAAAAUUUAUUUCCACUUGAAUAUCUCACAAACGGCGUACGAGACAACCUCCCUGGCAGCGGUUGUCAACACUAAACAGUAAAUCAUAAUAUAACAAAAGCUCGUAUAUAUAAAUAUAUAACUACAGUAUGUAAACGUUAUUAUUUAUUCAUGUAUUUCGGCCCGACUUGUCGCAUUAGUCUAACGCCGAGAUCUAUAGACCGUACUUUGACUUUGCUCAGACUCACUUAAGAGUUAAAACGAGACUUAACUUUAUCAGAGACAUAACUCUGACUAAUGUAUGAGCAAAGUCAAAACUAGACCGAAUUAUGUCUGACGUAAAUCUUUCUUGUUACAGCAACGACGACAAGUAAUCGAGACAGUUAUCUCUGAUAUUAAUUCAGAGGCAACACUCAGUCGCAUUUUAACUCUAAGGGCCUGUUUCACAAUCGCCAGUUUAUGACAGUUUUUGUAUUGGGAAUCUGUCAAAAUGUCAAAUUUAUCCAACAGAGAAAAUUUAUCUGGCGAUUGUGAAACAAGCCCUUAGUCUAAGCAAAGUCAAAGUACGCUGCAUAGAUUUCAGCAUAAGCCGUUAAGACCUGAAUGAAUCGCGAUACAACCUACCCCGGUACAUUGACAGUUAUAGAGUGACGAUCAUAAAUCACCUCUGAUUGGCCGACACCCUCUCACUAUUGGCUAGAAUGCACAGUUGCAUUAAGAAUACCAUAAAAUUAGCCAAUAAUAAUGAAUAUUGCAAUAUGAUAUUGAUAAUAAUAGAUAGUAACUGUCAUGCAGUUAAUAAAACGCACUUCACUCAGAUCUUAAACUCACUUUAAAACACUUGAUUAUAUUAUUAUUAAUAUAAAAAAUUCAUUACUUAAAUGGGAAAUUAUUUGGCAGUAUGGCAACACUAGAAACCAAAACUGUUUACAAAAUUCAAAUAUAAAAUAUACAAUAGUUAAUAAUAAUAAUUUGUUUUAUCCUAUCGUUUGAUAGUGAGCUGGUUCACAUUAAAAAACAAAAAAAAAACAUUCCUUUCAUACCAUUAACUUUUGGUAUGUAAUUCUAAGUUGAACAAAAUUGGUAAGACCAAAAAUCAAGCCUUCUCUGUGAAGAACAUUUGAAGAGGACAAAAAAAUCAUUGCAUUGAAAAACUUUGUUGGUUGGUAAAGUUGAAACAGUGUUGCACUUUAAAAAAUAAUAAUAAUCGUGUUGAUGAAAAUGGUAUUAAUUUAAUAGAUUUACGUUUAUUACCCUAUUCAAAUGCUUAUAGACGCGGUUGAAUGCCUUCCGCCAAAUUCACUCAUGUUACUGUUCACGACAAUAGCUUCUAACAAGCAGGCAGUAUUUAAUGUAGAAAAAAACUAUGCCUGCAAAAUAAUUAAUAUUCUGCUUACAAGCCAUACUUUUCAACUGGCAUUUGACAGGUCGAUUUCAUUGACAUUCCUAUUGUUAUUAUGAUCGCGGUGUAUGUAUUUAUUUAAACGUGAUAUUAUUUUAACUAGUCGCGACUAAGGCUGAGAUCUACAGAGCGUACAUUGACUUUUCUCAGACUCAAGACACGGUUGACGUGAGACGGAUGUAUGUCUCUCACAUAAAUCUGUCUCGUUUUAACUCUAAGUCUGAGAAAUUUCAAAUUAAGCUCUACAGAUUUCUGCCUGACAGUCAAGGGCCGAAACGUCAGAUUUGUGAUUUCUUGUAAAAGUAUAACACUACGCUUAAUUAGAUAAUAGAAAAAGAGACAGACGCGAUCGCCGCACUCACAAACAUUCAAACAUACAUGCCUAUUUUAAUAUUUAAUGAGCCGAGAGCUUGUGGAUUUUUUUUGUAGGUGCUUGAUAAACGUUAAAAGAUUGUAAGAUGGUCCUUCUAAAGAGUAGACCUGCUUGGUGUUCGUUCUCAUUUAACUGUGAAAAAGUAGACUUGCUUGGUUUUCACGAUUUAAAAAUUUCAGGUCUUUUGAAUCACCUUAUGAGGUCAAGGAUUGAUAUUCUUAACGCUACCUUAAAGAGUACAUGCAUAAUGGCUGAUGAAUGAAUGUAUAGUCCAUUGCGUGUAAAUAUAUACGUGAUAAAAUAUAAUAAAACUAUAAAACGGGACGGUGGCCGGCGAUUUAGUCAACGGCGACUGUCAGUCAGUUGGCAGAGCAUGCAUUCAAUAAUAAUUAUUAGUAUAUAAGAUAACACUAAUUUAAAAUACUUUACAGUAGUCGGGGAAGGUAGAGGAACCAUAUUACACACAUUUAGAUUUUAUCAAGCACCCCUUCAAUAUUUUCCACCAUCUCUCGGAAUAUUACACCUAGUAAGUAUGCGAAAGUUCACACACAAAUAUUAUAAAAGAAAGCACCACACCAAAUCUCAAAAAAAAAAACUAAUCACAAAUCAAAGGCUGAUACUUUUAAGAAUAACAUGGUGAUAGUUAAAAAUUAUAGAACAAUUUGACACGUAAUCAAUAAUGAACAUUAUUGCUAUAUGACUACAAAGUUCAUAAUACUUUGAUCACAAUUACGUUACACACCUAAUUUUUUUUUUAAUGUGUUUAUUACCCUAUAAUGCGUCUAGAUCGAGUAUCCGAUCCGUAAGAAUACGAAUAGAACAUUUUUGACACUUUCUAAUUCAGCCUUAUAAUUAGAAAGAGACAACUGUAGUGGGCGACCGCGUGAUACCAUUUUUUAUUUCACUGACACACUUGGUGACGCUACCAAUGUUGCCAUGACAAAAAUAAAUUUAGUGGUGGUAGAAUUUCUCUACCAAUUUACAUUUAAUUGAAUGAUUAAUUUGCAAUAGCAACAUUGCGUACCGACGUCACAAUGCACAUCUUUUUACAAUCCAUCUUUAUAUUAUCUCAAUUGCCAUUUUUCAAAACAUGUCUGAGAUUUGAGACUAUAAAUUAAAUUAGUCUCAUAACAUUUUACUUGUCACAUUUUUGUCAGAGCGAACUAGAGUAAGGGAAUUCUCGAUUUGAUCCUGAAUCGACGAUAUGUCAAAUAUUAGGCUAUGGGUGACGUGAAAUCGAAGA